rnacentral:rRNA from 1 species
AGCGAACGCUGGCGGCAGGCCUAACACAUGCAAGUCGAACGGAUCCUUCGGGAUUAGUGGCGGACGGGUGAGUAACACGUGGGAACGUGCCCUUUGGUUCGGAACAACUCAGGGAAACUUGAGCUAAUACCUGAUGUGCCCUUCGGGGGAAAGAUUUAUCGCCAUUGAAGCGGCCCGCGUCUGAUUAGCUAGUUGGUGAGGUAAAGGCUUACCAAGGCGACGAUCAGUAGCUGGUCUGAGAGGAUGAUCAGCCACAUUGGGACUGAGACACGGCCCAAACUCCUACGGGAGGCAGCAGUGGGGAAUCUUGCGCAAUGGGCGAAAGCCUGACGCAGCCAUGCCGCGUGAAUGAUGAAGGUCUUAGGAUUGUAAAAUUCUUUCACCGGGGACGAUAAUGACGGUACCCGGAGAAGAAGCCCCGGCUAACUUCGUGCCAGCCGCCGCCGUAAAAC